rnacentral:rRNA from 1 species
UACGGAGGGUGCAAGCGUUAUCCGGAUUCACUGGGUUUAAAGGGUGCGUAGGUGGAUCUGUAAGUCAGUGGUGAAAUCUCCAAGCUUAACUUGGAACUGCCGUUGAUACUAUCUGUCUUGAAUAUUGUGGAGGUGAGCGGAAUAUGUCAUGUAGCGGUGAAAUGCUUAGAUAUGACAUAGAACACCAAUUGCGAAGGCAGCUCACUACACAAUCAUUGACUCUGAGGCACGAAAGCGUGGGGAUCAAACAGG